UACACGUGGGGCUUUUGGGAGGGGUCAUCAAUAUUCGCUGACAUCAGCUGAGUGUGGGAGACUUGAAGCAACCCUUCAGAUGAUUUCAACCCCCAAAUUUCCUUCUGAGGAAGACAGGAAGUUCAGCCCCUCAUGAACUGGGGUCCCCACCCUGGGCCAAUUUGUCCAGUGAGUGUUCAAUUGUCCAUCCCUGCACAAACACAGGCUGAAGAUUUAUUUUGAAGAAUCUAAUUCUAGAAUCUUUGAGCCACAAAGAAUGCAAUAAAAUACCUGCUCCUUGGACAUGGAGAUGACACCCUACAGACAGAGGCCCCAAGUGGUGAAAUGAUUUGCACAAGGUCUCGGAGGGAAAGUGUCAGAACCAGGACAUUUUCAAAUCCAGCUUGCAGGUCCUAGACAGGAGGGAUUCCCACAGGCCCCAUUGCCUGCCCAGGUGAGCCUUGGACUAGCUGAGCAGUUUCUCUGGAGCAGCCUAAUAAAUGAUAGAAGCUCCAUGAAUAUUUGCUGAGGAAGAAUGGGUGAAUGAAUCCAAAGCUUAGAAUGUCAGUGAUCCUUGUGGCAGCAGGGAGCAAAUUCACCUGGAGUCCGGGGCUCCUGUGUAGGCCACAUCUCGCAGAAUCAGAGCUGCAGUGCCUCCCAUUAGCCAGCCAAGCAGAGGGAUGGAUGCCCAGCAACAGCAGAAAAUAACCCAUGCUACUCAGUGGUAAAUCAAGAAGUUUAU